rnacentral:rRNA from 1 species
AGCCCGUUAAUGGGUGAUAGCGUGCCUUUUGUAGAAUGAACCGGCGAGUUACGAUUUGUUGCAAGGUUAAGCGGAAAAAGCGGAGCCGUAGCGAAAGCGAGUCUGAAUAGGGCGCAUAAGUAACAGGUCGUAGACCCGAAACCAGGUGAUCUACCCAUGUCCAGGAUGAAGGUAAGGUAAUACUUACUGGAGGUCCGAACCCACGCACGUUGAAAAGUGCGGGGAUGAGGUGUGGGUAGCGGAGAAAUUCCAAUCGAACUUGGAGAUAGCUGGUUCUCUCCGAAAUAGCUUUAGGGCUAGCCUCGAGGUAAAGAGUCAUGGAGGUAGAGCACUGUUUGGACUAGGGGCCCUUCUCGGGUUACCGAAUUCAGAUAAACUCCGAAUGCCAUGUACUUAUACUCGGGAGUCAGACUGCGAGUGAUAAGAUCCGUAGUCGAAAGGGAAACAGCCCAGACCACCAGUUAAGGUCCCCAAAUAUAUGUUAAGUGGAAAAGGAUGUGGGGUUGCUUAGACAACCAGGAUGUUGGCUUAGAAGCAGCCACCAUUGAAAGAGUGCGUAAUAGCUCACUGGUCGAGUGACCCCGCGCCGAAAAUGUACCGGGGCUAAACAUAUUACCGAAACUGUGGAUGAACCUCUUUAGAGGUUCGUGGUAGGAGAGCGUUCUAAGGGCGGUGAAGUCAGACCGGAAGGACUGGUGGAGCGCUUAGAAGUGAGAAUGCCGGUAUGAGUAGCGAAAGAAGGGUGAGAAUCCCUUCCACCGAAUAUCUAAGGUUUCCUGAGGAAGGCUCGUCCGCUCAGGGUUAGUCGGGACCUAAGCCGAGGCCGAUAGGCGUAGGCGAUGGACAACAGGUAGAGAUUCCUGUACCAGUGCUAAUUGUUUAACCGAUGGGGUGACACAGAAGGAUAGGGAAUCGCACGAAUGGAAAUGUGCGUCCAAGCAGUGAGUGUGAGAA